UACGAAGGGGGCUAGCGUUGCUCGGAAUUACUGGGCGUAAAGGGAGUGUAGGCGGACAUUUAAGUCAGGGGUGAAAUCCCGGGGCUCAACCUCGGAAUUGCCUUUGAUACUGGGUGUCUUGAGUAUGAGAGAGGUAUGUGGAACUCCGAGUGUAGAGGUGAAAUUCGUAGAUAUUCGGAAGAACACCAGUGGCGAAGGCGACAUACUGGCUCAUUACUGACGCUGAGGCUCGAAAGCGUGGGGAGCAAACAGG
rnacentral:rRNA from 1 species